AACGAACGCUGGCGGCAUGCCUAACACAUGCAAGUCGAACGAGACCUUCGGGUCUAGUGGCGCACGGGUGCGCAACGCGUGGGAACCUGCCCUUAGGUUCGGAAUAACUCCCCGAAAGGGGUGCUAAUACCGGAUAAUGUCUUCGGACCAAAGAUUUAUCGCCUUUGGAUGGGCCCGCGUUGGAUUAGCUAGUUGGUAGGGUAAAAGCCUACCAAGGCGACGAUCCAUGGCUGGUCUGAGAGGAUGAUCAGCCACACUGGGACUGAGACACGGCCCAGACUCCUACGGGAGGCAGCAGUGGGGAAUAUUGGACAAUGGGCGAAAGCCUGAUCCAGCAAUGCCGCGUGAGUGAUGAAGGCCUUAGGGUUGUAAAGCUCUUUUACCCGGGAUGAUAAUGACAGUACCGGGAGAAUAAGCUCCGGCUAACUCCGUG
rnacentral:rRNA from 1 species